GAUCAUGGCUCAGGAUGAACGCUAGCUACAGGCUUAACACAUGCAAGUCGAGGGGCAGCAUGGUCUUAGCUUGCUAAGGCCGAUGGCGACCGGCGCACGGGUGAGUAACACGUAUCCAACCUGCCGUCUACUCUUGGACAGCCUUCUGAAAGGAAGAUUAAUACAAGAUGGCAUCAUGAGUCCGCAUGUUCCCANAUGAUUAAAGGUAUUCCGGUAGACGAUGGGG
rnacentral:rRNA from 1 species